rnacentral:lncRNA from 1 species
AAGUGACCACCGGUCACCGCCGCUUCCUCCGCACCGGUCAUCGCCGCUUCGUCUUCUUCCGCGACCACCGGCUCCGAUAACGAAGGUCUCCGACACGGGCUGGGGAGGAGAUUAAAACCCUAGGUUGAUUUUGAUUUUGAUUUUAGAUCUAGGGGAAGAGGUUGAGAAGAAAGGAGGGACAAGAAGAUAUGCCGGCCUCGCCGCGCCGGAGGCGGCGAGAGCCGGCGACAUUCGCCGGAGAGCAACAGAGAAUGAGAGACGCAGAGAGAGGGAAUGAAAGAAGGGAGAGAGCAGACCGUGUGAAGAAGAAAAGAAAAGUGGAGAGAGAAAAUAUUUUUUGAGAAUGAGUCUUUAGGCUUUUAAUUAGGGUGUAUAUCCUCUUUAAUUAAGUAGCUAAUUAUUUUAAUUACAACCCUAAUUAUUUCCAUUUUAAGACUGAGCCUAUUGGGCUGGGACGUCCCGAAAAGGAAAACGAGCCUAUUGGGCUGGGACGGAGGGAGUAU